GCGGGCGUAGUUCAGUUGGUUAGAACGCUGGCCUGUCACGCCGGAGGUCGCGGGUUCGAGUCCCGUCGCUCGCGCCA
rnacentral:tRNA from 2 species